CACACGCUUGUGGUUGGCUCACUAGUCCCUGGACUCGGGCUGCUGCUCCAGGCGCCCACGAGACCAUCCCUAACCUCGUGGCAAGGCCCAUGUGGCCCCAUGCUGGACACUUCCUGCGCCAGCAUGACCUGGCUGCAAGCCUGAGUGUCCUGGUGCAGGUGGCCGUGCCCCACAUCCCUCUCCCAGCCCUCGUCUGAUGGCCCCAUCCACACCCAGGCGUGGAAGGACCACCGAGCUCCCUGAAAGCCCGCCCGGUUCUCAGGAGAGAGACCCUUCUGGCAUUUUCUCUGUCAGGCUAGCAUUCUGGCUGCACAAAUGUCAACAGGAAGGAAGGGCGCUCCACCACACUUCUCAGAGCUGCCUAUUCAGCCCAUCCUAUUCCCAGCAGCUCCAGACUCUGCCGCGCCUUGGAGCAGCAGCUGAAGUCCAGCACCGCUUAAUGAGGAAACAGAAGGGGAAGUGUGCGGUUCCUGGGAAAUAAGGAGCCUCUGAAUGUUCCCGAGGAAGUGUGGGCCAGCCGGGAAGAAAGAUCGUGCAGAUAACGGUUCCGGAAGAUGGCUGGGCCAGCUCGGCAUAAAGGAGCGAAGAGGGAGUGGCGAGCCCAAGAGGCCCACGGUGGGGUUGUGCGCUGGUGGGGACAGGCAUGACUUCUGGGUGGCAUCCGUGGUCACCGCGGCCUGGCGCUCCCCUGCGCGCCACUGCCCUCCAGUGGCCAGGCCUGGGAUGGCCGCUCAGAGCGUGUGGGAGUCCGGGAAGAGCUCGGACAAGGA